rnacentral:rRNA from 1 species
CCGGCACGGGUGAGUAACACGUAUCCAACCUGCCGUCUACUCUUGGACAGCCUUCUGAAAGGAAGAUUAAUACAAGAUGGCAUCAUGAGUCCGCAUGUUCACAUGAUUAAAGGUAUUCCGGUAGACGAUGGGGAUGCGUUCCAUUAGAUAGUAGGCGGGGUAACGGCCCACCUAGUCUUCGAUGGAUAGGGGUUCUGAGAGGGAGGUCCCCCACAUUGGAACUGAGACACGGUCCAA